AUGAACUGGCUCAGCUGGAUGUUGUCGCUUGGACUAAAGAGCUGGUUUAGAGUUCGAUCCUUGGUAUACAGCAUAAUUUUGUUUGUUUUUUGCUUGGCUGCCAAUACAAACGGGCUGAGUGUGGGCUGCCAAGACAAGCGGGCUGGCACACACACGGUGCUACGUAAAAGGCUAAAAGCGCUUCCCCCACAAAACCAACCAAAGAGGGAAGAUCGCCUCAGUGCGCUUCCUGAUGAUGUUUUGCUGUCUAUCUUGGAGAGAGUGGACGACCUAAGAACCGUAGCAAGGACAAGUGCGCUAUCAACAUGGUGGAGGCGGCUGCCUUGGUUCCUGCCCAAGCUCAUCAUUGAUGCCGAUGAUUUCAUAUCCGGUCCGCACCCAAGGGUAAAGCCUGUUGAGGCUAAGGUCAUCCAUGACGCGAUGCUCACUCUAACCGCAGCGACAAGGAGUUUAUUUGCUAAACCUCAGAGAGAAUCUGCUGUCGCAGAGCUGCAACUUGAGAUCUACUUGAUCGACACUUUCUUAUGCGAUAUUGGCCCACUGAUAGAUGCACCAAAUUCAAAACUUCAUGUUCUGGUGCUCUACAUGUGUUGCUUCGAGGGAAUUGAGUUGAUAUCCCUUCCAAAACUGGAGAACCUCAGUGUGCUUGGUUGGGUGUCUCACUCUACCCCCUUGUCUUUUGGUUUUGUCCCAUCCCUUGAGGAAUUGGACCUAGCACAAAUUCUGCUCCGCCACAAUAUUUGA
rnacentral:rRNA from 1 species